UGGCCAGAAGGAGGAGCCAAGACCCAC
rnacentral:piRNA from 1 species